rnacentral:tRNA from 1 species
GCGGCCGUGACGGAAUUGGCAGACGUGCAGGAUUUAGGUUCCUGUGCCGCGAGGCGUGAGGGUUCGACUCCCUUCGGCCGCA